GAUGAACGCUGGCGGCGUGCCUAAUACAUGCAAGUCGAGCGAACAGACGAGGAGCUUGCUCCUCUGACGUUAGCGGCGGACGGGUGAGUAACACGUGGAUAACCUACCUAUAAGACUGGGAUAACUUCGGGAAACCGGAGCUAAUACCGGAUAAUAUAUUGAACCGCAUGGUUCAAUAUUGAAAGACGGUUUUGCUGUCACUUAUAGAUUGAUCCGCGCCGCAUUAGCUAGUUGGUAAGGUAACGGCUUACCAAGGCAACGAUGCGUAGCCGACCUGAGAGGGUGACCGGCACAACGGGACUUGAGCACCGGUCCAGCUUCCUCCGGGAGGAAGAAGUAGGGAAUCUUCCGCAAUGGGCGAAAGCCUGCCGGAGCAACGCCGCGUGAGUGAUGAAGGUCUUCGGAUCGAAAACCUCUGUUAUUAGGGAAGAACAAAUGUGUAAGUAAAUAUGCACGUCUUGACGGUACCUAAUCAGAAAGCCACGGCUAACUACGUG
rnacentral:rRNA from 1 species